CGGGGCGUAGCGCAGCCUGGUAGCGCAUCUGCUUUGGGAGCAGGAGGUCGGAGGUUCAAAUCCUCUCGCCCCGACCA
rnacentral:tRNA from 1 species